rnacentral:rRNA from 1 species
UUAGAAAUAAUUUAUUAUAUUUCUUUAUUUUGUAAAUUGUUUUGAAAAUCAUUUAUUAUUGUUUUUGUAUUUGUUAAAGAUUAAAUUUUUUAUAUUAUAAAUUAUUUGUACCGUGAGGGAUUAGGAAUGGUUUAUUUUUAGUUAGUAAGUUUAAUUGAUUAUUAGUACCUUGUGUAUCAGGGUUAAUUAAAUUAUUUUUAUAUAAGUUAAAUUUCUCGAUUCUAUUAGAGUUAAUUAAUUAAUCUUUUUAUAGUAGUAAAUUUAUUUAUAAUAUUUGAUUGGUAAUGAAAUGUUAAUCGUUAAUAGGGAUUUCUAGUUUUUUGGGAAAUAAAUUUAAUUUACAUUUUUUAUUUAAUUAUUUAAAUUUUUAUAAAUAAUUUAAUAUAAUAUGAAUAUUCAAGGGGAUUAGCUCUUGAAUAGAUUUAUUAUAAGAUAAAAUAGUAUCACUAAAAUUUUAUGAUUUUAAUAAUAAUUAUUAAUAUGAGUUUGUUAUAAUAUUAUUUUUAUAUCUUUUUAUUUAUUAUUCUUUAAUUUAUUUACUAGAAUUUAUUAUAUAAUUUUUAUUUAUUUUUAAUAAUGAUUAAAUUAGUAUAAAUUUUUAAUUUUAUUUUAUUUUUUUUUUGUUAAGUUGGGUUAAGGAAUUAGGCAAAAAAAAAUUAUCCGCCUGUUUAACAAAAACAUCUCUUCUUGAUCUUUAUGUGAAGUAUAACCUGCCCAAUGAAUAAAUUUAAUGGCCGCGGUAUAUUGACCGUGCAAAGGUAGCAUAAUCAUUAGUCUUUUAAUUGGGGGCUGGAAUGAAUGGUUGGACGAGAUAAAUUCUGUCUUUAUUUAAUUUAUUUUGAAUUUAAUUAUUAAGUUAAAAAGCUUAAAUUUUUUUAUGGGACGAGAAGACCCUAUAGAGUUUAUAUAAAUUUUUACUAGAUUUUGGUUUGUUAAAGUAUUAUUUUAUAAAUUUAUUUUGUUGGGGUGAUGGAAAGAUAAUUGUAGCUCUUUCUUUAUUAUAAUUAAUUAUAAUUAUUUAUUUGAUCCAUUAUUAAUGAUUAUAAGACUAAAUUACCUUAGGGAUAACAGCGUAAUCUUUUUUGAGAGUUCUUAUCGACAAAAAGGAUUGCGACCUCGAUGUUGGAUUAAGAUAUAAUUUGAGUGUAGAAGCUUAAAAGUUAAGUCUGUUCGACUUUUAAAAUCUUACAUGAUCUGAGUUCAAACCGGCGUGAGCCAGGUUGGUUUCUAUCUAUUAUGAAAUUUUAUAUCUUAGUACGAAAGGACCAGAUAUUGAAAAUAAUUUUUUUUUAUUUGAUUAU